GAAAAAGAGAGGAUGAGAGCUAGUAUGAGGAGAAGGAGAUACAGGAAAUUAGUUUUAAAAGUAUAUUGAGUAGAACUUCAUUAGUUAGUCUCAAAUAUUUUAUAUUUUUUAAGAUGAACGGGGCUGGCAGGAUUUCGUUUCUCCCUGUCUCUGGCCCACACUCCAGUACAGUAGGUGGCGGUAAUGCACCAUGACGUUGGAUUGUGAACCGAAGAUAAACCCACCGAAGAAGAAGCCCAGGCAUGCGCAAAAAGUGGCGCACCAAGUUCUCGCAUCUGAUUUUUCUGCAUAGUUUGCUGUCGCCACUGUCUUGCACUAAUUGUUCUACACAUUUUGAAAAGAAACCAAAAGUUUUCAAAAUAUUACGUAUUUUAGCACUAACUGAUGAGAGGACAGCUUAAGUACUUCUCCCGGACAUUACCCCUCCACUACAGUCCGCAUUUCUGUGUCCAGACUGUAACAAAAUAAGUGCAUGACAAUGUCAAGGUGAUAUUAGCUAUGCAUCUGGCACUUACCGGCUCUUCAAAUUGCCCCAAAAGCUUGAGAUGUCAAGCGCAAUAGUGACCUACAAGGGGACUGUGUCUGACUACCCGUGUCAGCUGGAGUUUGACUCCUCCCACUGCUUCAAGAAAGACGCCUAGGGUCGAUGGGGAGAUGGCUGUUAUCUUCCAGUGCUCUCUCUUCUCCCCAGACUUCUGCAUCCAGAAGUACGGCCACCUCAGCCCAUUCUUGCUGGCCGAUAAGCUGGGCUCCUCGGUGAAUCAGUGCUCCAAGACAGGCAAAGCCCCAGUAACCUGUGGGGAGACCUAACUAAAUACACCUGGAUGAGAUCAUAUCCAUGAAGGAACCUCCUCAGAGGGCCAGGGUGUAUGGCCCAAUAAUCUUGCCUUCCUGCUGAAGUGUGCACUUAAUCACUACUUCCCACAAAUCUAAAAGCAUUGGCUUGUUGUUUUCCUGGGCUAUUGGGAGUUUCCAUAUUUCUAGUGAUAAUUCCCGAGAAUCCGGUGUUUGUUGGAUAUAUUGGCACGGUGUUGUUAGGCACGAGACCAAGUCGAGGACCGGCAAACCAUGCCAAUAUAUCCAACAAACACUAGCUUCGAGGGCAUUAUCACUUGUAUACGGGUUACCAACAUAUUCAAAUAAUGAUCGACAUAUUUUCAUUAAAAACUUUAUUUUUAUACUUUUAUUCGUACAAUUUCAUCCUUCCACAAGAUAUAGUCCCGACAAAAAUCUAGGGUCGCUAGAGAUGCGACCAAGUCGUUCGUUCUUUUUGUUCUGUAUCUAACGACGCGACACAAUGAGAUAAUGAGGCACGAUUUCACCUGGCAUAGAAAAUGUUCUCUCUCGUUAGGACACUGUUGUUCAGAGGAGCUAGCCAACAACACAGCUAACACAAUAACUUCUAACUGAAGCAGCAAAGACUUCAAGCUAGGUGCACUUCGUUUUGUUUUACCUUUGUAUAUAUCCAUAAAAAUGAUGCCAGCCGAUUCAUGAUUUCGACUGGCUGAGAAAUGCUA